AACAAACGCUGGCGGCGUGCCUAAUACAUGCAAGUCGAACGGGGUAGCAAUACCUAGUGGCGCACGGGUGAGUAACGCGUGGAUAAUCUGCCUUAGAGUGGGGGAUAACUAGUCGAAAGAUUAGCUAAUACCGCAUAAGACCACAAGAACUGCGGUUCAAGGGGUCAAAGGUUUUUCGCUCUAAGAUGAGUCCGCGUAAGAUUAGCUAGUUGGUGAGGUAAUGGCUCACCAAGGCGACGAUCUUUAACUGGUCUGAGAGGAUGAUCAGUCACACUGGAACUGAGACACGGUCCAGACUCCUACGGGAGGCAGCAGUAGGGAAUAUUGCACAAUGGAGGAAACUCUGAUGCAGCGACGCCGCGUGAGUGAUGAAGGCCUUCGGGUCGUAAAGCUCUGUCGCAGGGGAAUAACACAAUGAAUGUACCCUGUAAGAAAGGAUCGGCUAACUUCGUGCCAGCCGCCGCCGUAACAC
rnacentral:rRNA from 1 species